AGCCCAUGAUGUGGGAAUCUUCGCAGUAGUUCUUUAAACCUCUCCCAAGCUUCAUACAAGGACUCACCAUCAAAUUGUGUGAAUGAGGUGAUAUCGUUCCUCAAUGUU
rfam:Theobroma cacao cultivar Matina 1-6 chromosome 6, whole genome shotgun sequence.